rnacentral:lncRNA from 1 species
CCGAGUAGAUUGUGACUGGAUGAGUUUGAAAUAAUACUAAAUAGGUACCAAGAAAGUUGAUGUUAGUGUAUAGCUGUUCGUAGGAACCGAUAAAUCUAUUCAAAUAUCAUGAAUGAUCUAACUCAAGGACUGGGAAUAUGGAAAUUGUAAGGGUUAAUUUCUUCUUCAUUCAAUUUUCACUAGCAUAUGGUGCAGUAGCUUUUAAUUAUGUUCAACCCUGAC